GUUUACGUUUUUUUUAUUUUUAUGUCCGCCUGUUUUAACUGAAUAGCUAAAGUAACUCCAUACUUAACACUUUAACCAAAUUAACACGAAGAACAAAUACUGGAAGCGAUUCCUCACUAUCACCUACUCAAAUACAAAACAAACAUUUUGCCAUGAGUUGUGUCACUGAGGGCUCUGCCCUGCUGCGGGUGAGUUGGGAAAUUGCUGGAACAUUCAGUUCCGUUUCAUCACCAUCCAACUCACGUAGGCUAGACUUGAUAGGCUUGCCAUUAAAAUAAGUUUCACACGCAAUUAUUUAAACUCGAACAUAUGUUACCAGCACAUUGGGCUACAUCGACAGAGUAAACCAAUUGUUCAACUGAAUUGGUUAAUGUUGGAAGGCAAGCCUUCUUCACAGUUAGCCUAACAAGAGAGCGUCCCUUUAAACUGCAAGCAAACUGAAACUGCCAUAUCCGAUGACGCAAUCGUUGAAACUAUUUUUGCGUUCAAAAAAUAAUGUAGCCAUUUUCAAUUAGUAUUUGGGCUUACAGGAGACGUUGAAUAUGGCGAUUCUACAGGAGACUUGAAUAUGAAACCCAACCGACACUGACUACACUCAGAAACUCAUUGUUCCAGAGAAUGGAAUAAAUCUGAAGACCCGAAUCUUUGUGGGGGUGAAAGCCACCAAUCUAACAGAGAGGUUCCACGUUCUGCUUGACCGAUGCUACACAACAACAAGUCCCGUUCACAACAACAGCACCUACUAUGACCUCUUUGUUGGGUGUACAUACACAUGAUGAACAAACCAGGGUCGAGUUGAAUGGAGCGUCUCAGCAUGCACACCUUCCGUUUCAUUGAACACAAGAACAUGACCGUCGCCACUUUCUACCUGCACUGUCACCCAACUCUGUGAGGUGUCCUCCUGUUCGUCCUUACUGCCUUCUCCCCCCAGUCCCAAAGAAGCCCAAUGGGCCAUAUGGCCGUCACAACUUCGGUGCUGGCUGUGAUCUGUCUCUCCGUGGCCCUGUUCAUUGGUCUGUUCCUGAGGAGGAUGCACAAUUGAGAGCAUCCUGUCGGGCUGUAUCACAGCCUGGAACGGCAACUGCACCGCCCACAACCGCAGGACUCUCCAGAGGGUGGUGCGGUCUGCCCAACGCAUCACCGGGGGCAAGGCCAAAAAGAUCAUCAAGGACAACAACCACCUGAGCCACUGCCUGUUCACCCUGCUAUCAUCCAGGAGGCGAGGUCAGUACAGGUGCUGGGACCGAGAGACUGAAAAACAGCUUCUAUCUCAAGGCCAUCAUACUGUUAAAUAGCCAUCACUAGGCGGCUUCCACCCGGUUACAUAACCCUGCAGCUUAGAGGCUGCUGCCCUAUAUACAGUUGAAGUUAGAAGUUUACAUACACUUAAGUUGGAGUCGUUAAAUCUAGUUUUUCAACCACUCUACAAAUUUCCUGUUAACAAACUACAGUUUUGGUAAGUUGGUUAGGACAUCUACUUUGUGCAUGAACCAAGUCAUUUUUACAACAAUUGUUUACAGACAGAUUAUUUCACUUAUAAUUCACUGUAUCACAAUUCCAGUGGGUCUGAAGUUUACAUACACUAAGUUGACUGUGCCUUUAAACAGCUUGGAAAAUUCCAGAAAAUUAUGUCAUGGCUUUAGAAGCUUCUGAUAGGCUAAUUGACAUCAUUUGAGUCAAUUGGAGGUGUAUAGGUGGAUGUAUUUCAAGACCUACCUUCAAACUCAGUGCCUCUUUGCUUGACAUCAUAGGAAAAUCAAAAGAAAUCAGCCAAGACCUCAGAAAAACAAUUGUAGACCUCCACAAGUCUGGUUCAUCCUUGGGAGCAAUUUCCAAACGCCUGAAUGUACCACGUUCAUCUGUACAAACAAUAGUACUCAAGUAUAAACACCAUGGGACCACGCAGCCGUCUUACCGCUCAGGAAGGAGACGCGUUCUGUCUCCUAGAGAUGAACGUACUUUGGUGCGAAAAGUGCAAAUCAAUCCCAGAACAGCAAAGGACCUUGUGAAGAUUCUGGAGGAAACGGGUACAAAAGUAUCUAUAUCCACAGUAAAACGAGUCCUGAAAGGCCGCUCAGCAAAGAAGAAGCCACUGCUCCAAAACCGCCAUAAAAAGUCAGACUAUGGUUUGCAACUGCACAUGGGGACAAAGAUCAUACUUUUCGGAGAAAUGUCCUCUGGUCUGAUGAAACAAAAAUAGAACUAUUUGGCCAUAAUGACCAUCGUUAUGUUUGGAGGAAAAUGGGGGAGGCUUGCAAGCCGAAGAACACGAUCCCAAACAUGAAGCACGGGGAUGGCAGCAUCAUGUUGUGGGGGUGCUUUUCUGCAGGAAGGACUGGUGCACUUCACAUAAUAGGUGGCAUCAUGAGGUAGGAAAAUUAUGUGGACAUAUUGAAGCAACAUCUCAAGACAUCAGUUGGGAAGUUAAAGCUUGGUCGCAAAUGGGUCUUCCAAAUGGACAAUGACCCCAAGCAUACUUCCAAAGUUGUGGCAAAAUGGCUUAAGGACAACAAAGUCAAGGUAUUGGAGUGGCCAUCACAAAGCCCUGACCUCAUCCUAAAGAAAAUAUGUGGGCAGAGCUGAAAAAGCGUGUGCGAGCAAAGAGGCCUACAAACCUGACUCAGUUACACCAGCUCUAUCAGGAGGAAUGGGCCAAAAUUCACCCAACUUAUUGUGGGAUGCUUGAGGAAGGCUACCCAAAACGUUUGACCCAAGUUAAACAAUUUAAAGGCAAUGCUACCAAAUACUAAUUGAGUGUAUGUAAACUUCUGACCCACUGGGAAUGUGAUGAAAUAAAUAAAAGCUGAAAUACAUCACUCUCUACUAUUAUUCUGACAUUUCACAUUCUUAAAAUAACGUGGUGAUCCUAACUGACCUAAGACUUUUUACGAGGCUUAAAUCACAGGAUUUGUGAAAAACUGAGUUUAAAUGUAUUUGGCUAAGGUGUAUGUAAACUUCCGACUUCAACUGUACAUAUACUUGAAAUCACUGGCCACUUUAAUAAUGGAACACUAGUCACUUUAAUAAUGUUUACAUAUUUUUGCUUUACUCAUCUCAUGUGUAUAUACUGUAUUAUAUUCUACUGUAUUUUAGUCUAUGCCACUCCGACAUCGCUCAUCCUAAUAUUUAUAUAUCCUUAAUUCCAUGAUUUUACUUUUAGGUUUGUGUGUAUUGUUGUGAAGUGUUAGAUAUUACUGCACUGUUGGAGCUAGAAAUACAAGUAUUUCACUACACCCGCAAUUACAUCUGCUAAACAUGUGUAUGUGACCAAUACAAUUUGAUUUGAUUAACCUUAUCAUAGAUCACUUACUGUAGCUAUUGAAUUACCCAACAAUGCUAGCAUUCUAUAACAUCUAAUAAAAAGCCUGUAUUCUACAUUAUAUUUGGUAUAAACUGUCUAACCCAAUAUCGAACCAAAGGCAAAUAACAUUUCUAAGAAAGGUACAAAACAAA